rnacentral:rRNA from 1 species
UACGGAGGGAGCUAGCGUUGUUCGGAAUUACUGGGCGUAAAGCGCGCGUAGGCGGCUUUGUAAGUUAGAGGUGAAAGCCCGGAGCUCAACUCCGGAACUGCCUUUAAGACUGCAUCGCUUGAACAUCGGAGAGAUAAGUGGAAUUCCGAGUGUAGAGGUGAAAUUCGUAGAUAUUCGGAAGAACACCAGUGGCGAAGGCGACUUACUGGACGAUUGUUGACGCUGAGGUGCGAAAGCGUGGGGAGCAAACAGG